rnacentral:rRNA from 1 species
AUGUCUCCCAAGUAGCGUCGGACACGUGAAAUCCGGCGUGAAUCUGUGCAGACCACUGCAUAAGGCUAAGUACACUUUUACACCGAUAGCGAAUAGUACCGCGAGGGAAAGGUGAAAAGAACCCCGGGAGGGGAGUGAAAUAGAUUCUGAAACUCAAAACUUACAACGGGUAGGAGCCACUUCGGUGGUGACUGCGUACCUAUUGACGAAUGGGCCAGCGAGUUAAUGCUAGUAGCAAGGUUAAGACAGAUACAGUCGGAGCCGUAGGGAAACCGAGUCUUAAGAGGGCGAAUGAGUUGCUAGUAUUAGACCCGAAACAAUAUGAGCUACACAUGGGCAGGUUGACGGUCGGGGGAACCCGGCUAGAGGACCGAACCGGUUGGUGCUGCAAAACCUUCGGAUGACCCGUGUGUUGGAGUGAAAAGCUUAUCGAAUAUUGUGAUAGCUGGUUCUCCCUGAAAUGCAUUUAGGUGCAGCCUGCUACUAAGAUCUUACAGGGGUAGAGCUCUGAUAAGGCUAGGGGGAUCGAGAGGUCUUACCAAACCUUGUUAAACUUCGAAUACUGUAAAGAAUGUAGUGGAGUGAGACUGCCGCAGCCAAGUGUGGUAGUCAAAAGGAUAACAGUCCAGAUUUCUGACUAAGGUCCCUAAAUUAUGGUUAAGUGGAAAAGGUUGUGCGGUUGCAUAGACAUCCAGGAGGUUUGCUUAGAAGCAGCAACCCUUUAAAGAAAGCGUAACAGCUCACUGGACGAGCGAUUGUGUGCCGAAGAUGUAACGGGGCUCAAACCAUAUACCGAAGUCGAAAGCCUCUUUGAGGCGGUAAGGGAGUGUUCUAUACUGAGUGAAGGUGUGUCGUAAGGCUAUCUGGACGGUAUAGAAGUAAGAAUGCUGGCAUGAGUAACGACUGUAUAUGAAAAUUAUACACGCCUAAAGCCUAAGGUUUCCUACGCAACGUUCAUCGACGUAGGGUUAGGCGGGACCUAAGGGAAGACCCGAAAGGGGCACCCGAUGGAUAGCUGGUUAAUAUUCCAGCCCUUAAUUAUCAAGCGAUGUGGUGACGCAUUGGGAUGUGUGUGAGCUUUCUAAGGAUGAGAGUUCAAUCAACAAGUCAUAUGAGAUAGGCAAAUCCGUCUCGUAGCUAUUGGCGAGUUGUAUGAUGAUGAUAACUUCGGUUAUUAAAAUCGCAUAGUUCUGGUGCCAAGAAAAACCGCUAGCGUUAAUUGAUAAUUAACCCGUACCCAGAACCGACACCGGUAGGCAGGUUGAGAAUACCAAGGCGCUCGAGAUAACCAAUUUAUAAGGAACUAGGCAAAUCAGCGACCGUAACUUCGGGAUAAGGUCUGCCCUGCAUUUAUGUAGGGCCGCAGCGAAAGUGGUGGGGGGAACUGUUUAUCAAAAACACAGCUCUCUGCUAACAUGCAAAUGGAUGUAUAGAGGGUGACGCCUGUCCAAUGCCAGAAUGUUACGCUCUCCGGUUCACGCUUGAGAGUUAAGCACUGGUGAAUGACGGCCGUAACUAUGACGGUCCUAAGGUAGCGAAAUUCCUUGUCAGGUAAGUUCUGACCCGCAUGAAUGGCGCAAUCAUCCCCACACUGUCUCGUGAUUGGUCUCGGUGAAAUUACAUUACCGGUAAAAAUGCCGGUUAGUCGCAGCUAGACGAAAAGACCCCAUGAAGCUUUACUGUAGGUUGAUAUUGUAUUGUAGUAUGUUAUGUUCAGGAUAGGUGGGAGGCUUUGAAGCUGUCACGCUAGUGAUGGUGGAGCCAUCCUUGAGAUACCACCCAUGACAUAUAGCAAUACUAACCUCGCACAGCGAGGAACAGUGUCAGCUAGGCAGUUUACCUGGGGCGGGUGCCUCCUAAAAUGUAACGGAGGCGCGCAAAGGUGUGCUUGUAACGGAUGGAAACCGUUGCUAAAGUGUAUUCGCAUAAGCACGCUUGACUGCAAGACUGACAGGUCGAGCAGGUACGAAAGUAGGUGAAAGUGAUCCGGAUCUUCCGAGUGGAAGGGGAUCCGCUCAACGGAUAAAAGUUACUCUGGGGAUAACAGGCUAAUGGGAUCUAAGCGUUCAUAGCGACGAUCCCGUUUGGCACCUCGAUGUCGGCUCGUCGCAUCCUGGGGCUGUAGAAGGUCCCAA